rnacentral:miRNA from 1 species
AAGCCCUUAUCCCAAAAAGAAU